GUAGCACAGUCUGGUGCUAUUGACAAAGCGGGAUUACUGUUUCCUAAACCGUAGGUCGCAUGUUCGAGUCAUGCCGGGAUCGCCA
rnacentral:tRNA from 1 species